rnacentral:rRNA from 1 species
UUGCUUACUGCACCACAUGUGUUUUUCUUUGAAACAAACUUGCUUUGGCGGUGGGCCCAGCCUGCCGCCAGAGGUCUAAACUUACAACCAAUUUUUUAUCAACUUGUCACACCAGAUUAUUACUUAAUAGUCAAAACUUUCAACAACGGAUCUCUUGGUUCUCGCAUCGAUGAAGAACGCAGCGAAAUGCGAUACGUAAUAUGAAUUGCAGAUAUUCGUGAAUCAUCGAAUCUUUGAACGCACAUUGCGCCCUCUGGUAUUCCGGAGGGCAUGCCUGUUUGAGCGUCGUUUCUCCCUCAAACCGCUGGGUUUGGUGUUGAGCAAUACGACUUGGGUUUGCUUGAAAGACGGUAGUGGUAAGGCGGGAUCGCUUUGACAAUGGCUUAGGUCUAACCAAAAACAUUGCUUGCGGCGGUAACGUCUACCACGUAUAUCUUCAAACUUUGACCUCAAAUCAGGUAGGACUACCCGCUGAACUUAAGCAUAUCAAUAAGGCGGGAGGAAGGUUUGGAAAAA